UACGUAGGGGGCUAGCGUUGUCCGGAAUCAUUGGGCGUAAAGCGCGUGUAGGCGGUCCGGUAAGUCCGCUGUGAAAGUCGGGGGCUCAACCCUCGGAUGCCGGUGGAUACUGUCGGGCUUGAGUACGGAAGAGGCGAGUGGAAUUCCUGGUGUAGCGGUGAAAUGCGCAGAUAUCAGGAGGAACACCAAUUGCGAAGGCAGCUCGCUGGGACGGUACUGACGCUGAGACGCGAAAGCGUGGGGAGCAAACAGG
rnacentral:rRNA from 1 species